CUCGAGGUCUGCAGCGACGCCGCGUGGAGGAAGAAGGUCUUCGGAUUGUAAACUCCUGUUGUUGGGGAAGAUAAUGACGGUACCCAACAAGGAAGUGACGGCUAACUACGUGCCAGCAGCCGCGGUAAAACGUAGGUCACAAGCGUUGUCCGGAAUUACUGGGUGUAAAGGGAGCGCAGGCGGGAAGACAAGUUGGAAGUGAAAUCUAUGGGCUCAACCCAUAAACUGCUUUCAAAACUGUUUUUCUUGAGUAGUGCAGAGGUAGGCGGAAUUCCCGGUGUAGCGGUGGAAUGCGUAGAUAUCGGGAGGAACACCAGUGGCGAAGGCGGCCUACUGGGCACCAACUGACGCUGAGGCUCGAAAGUGUGGGUAGCAAACAGGAUUAGAUACCCUGGUAGUCCACACCGUAAACGAUGAUUACUAGGUGUUGGAGGAUUGACCCCUUCAGUGCCGCAGUUAACACAAUAAGUAAUCCACCUGGGGAGUACGACCGCAAGGUUGAAACUCAAAGGAAUUGACGGGGGCCCGCACAAGCAGUGGAGUAUGUGGAUUAAUUCGAAGCAACGCGAAGAACCUUACCAGGUCUUGACAUCGUAUGCAUAGCUCAGAGAUGAGUGAAAUCUCUUCGGAGACAUAUAGACAGGUGGUGCAUGGUUGUCGUCAGCUCGUGUCGUGAGAUGUUGGGUUAAGUCCCGCAACGAGCGCAACCCUUACUGUUAGUUGCUACGCAAGAGCACUCUAGCAGGACUGCCGUUGACAAAACGGAGGAAGGUGGGGAUGACGUCAAAUCAUCAUGCCCCUUAUGACCUGGGCCUCACACGUACUACAAUGGCUGUAAACAGAGGGAUGCAAAGCCGCGAGGUAGAGCGAACCCCUAAAAGCAGUCUUAGUUCGGAUUGUAGGCUGCAACCCGCCUACAUGAAGUCGGAAUUGCUAGUAAUCGCAGAUCAGCAUGCUGCGGUGAAUACGUUCCCGGGCCUUGUACACACCGCCCGUCACACCAUGAGAGCCGGGUGGACCUUUCCCGGAAAAUGGCUGCUUGACGGACUUAUAGAGCU
rnacentral:rRNA from 1 species